AACGAACGCUGGCGGCAUGCCUAACACAUGCCAGUCGAACGAGACCUUCGGGUCUAGUGGCGCACGGGUGCGUAACGCGUGGGAACCUGCCCUUAGGUUCGGAAUAACUCCCCGAAAGGGGUGCUAAUACCGGAUAAUGUCUUCGGACCAAAGAUUUAUCGCCUUUGGAUGGGCCCGCGUUGGAUUAGCUAGUUGGUAGGGUAAAAGCCUACCAAGGCGACGAUCCGUAGCUGGUCUGAGAGGAUGAUCAGCCACACUGGGACUGAGACACGGCCCAGACUCCUACGGGAGGCAGCAGUGGGGAAUAUUGGACAAUGGGCGAAAGCCUGAUCCAGCAAUGCCGCGUGAGUGAUGAAGGCCUUAGGGUUGUAAAGCUCUUUUACCCGGGAUGAUAAUGACAGUACCGGGAGAAUAAGCGCCGGCUAACUCCGUG
rnacentral:rRNA from 1 species